rnacentral:misc_RNA from 1 species
AUUAAAUGUUAUUAUUGUCAUUACAUUGUUAUAGCAUUUAAGGAAUAAAUAUUAAGAAAUAUAAUUAUGUGGAAAAUACUAAUAUGCUCCUCUUGAUCUGGAUCAACUUGAUCUGCAUGAUAUUGUCGCAUUGACGAUAACAUUGCAGCCCCUAGCCUUUUUAUUGUAUUCCCCAUCCAAUGCAAAAUGAUAUUUGCCGCAGGACAUUAUUGUUGAUGAUCGAUGGCAAUCAAGAGGGUACACAAUUUUUCGCUUCCAUAUUUAAUUAUUUAGCUACAAAACGUUACCACUAACCAGUGGUGUAUCAUUUAGGAUCUGUCCUUUGGUUAGUUAUGACAGCAUUCUUCAUGAGGUCAAGAGAAUUUUGAAGAUCAUCGCAGAGUUGAUGUGGAUCUGAAAUUAUAUUUUCGUCGACUGAUAAGGUGAUUUUCAUCUUG